CUUUCUCUUUCUCAAACUCUAGCUUUUAGAUAGAGGCGAUCUUCGAGCUUCAUCCAUGGCUUCGAAGUGGAUCUGGUUGGAGCUCAAGGACCUCUAGAUGAAAGAUCCUCCUCCUAACUCUUGCAGUGCUGGACGAGAAAGAUGAUGCAUGCACAGGAUUAAAGUUGGAAAAAAAUAUCUUUUCAAUCGAAGCAAAUAUCUCGGGAUGAGGUAACUCCUAGGAUUAUUGAGCCGUUGGCUUCUCGAAGCCCUCACAGGAAUGCAACCCAAGUUAAGGGCAGCUGAACAACAGAAGACGAAGAAUAAAAGGAAGCAAAUACAAAUUACAAACUGAUUUAAAUUCCAGUUUGAACUACUUCUCAAUGCAAAUAACUGAGCUUGAUCUAAUAUUCCUAUCGCAGAGAAAACCCUAGAAACAUUAUUGCAA